rnacentral:rRNA from 1 species
UACUAGAGUAGCACUCGCAUAUCAAUAAGCGGAGGAAAAGAAACUAACAAGGAUUCCCCUAGUAACGGCGAGUGAAGCGGGAAGAGCUCAAAUUUGAAAUCUUAAAGGGUUUCCCUUUACGAAUUGUAGUUUAAAGAAGUGUUUUCUGUUGAGGUUUUGGUAAAAGUUCUUUGGAAUAGGACAUCAUAGAGGGUGAGAAUCCCGUAUUUGACCUUUACUUUCAACUUUGUGAUACACUUUCAAAGAGUCGGAUUGUUUGGGAAUGCAGUCCAAAAUGGGUGGUAAAUUUCAUCUAAAGCUAAAUAUUGGCGAGAGACCGAUAGCGAACAAGUACCGUGAGGGAAAGAUGAAAAGAACUUUGAAAAGAGAGUUAAACAGUACGUGAAAUUGUCAAAAGGGAAGCGUUUGACACCAGUGUUGUUUUUCUGAAAAUCAAUUAUAAGAACUGUUUAUGCUAAGUUGUUUAGACUUUUAUCAGCUAACUGUUUAGUUUUGAGCUUUUCUUUAAUGCACUUUUCAGUUAACAAGUCAACAUCAAUUUCUUUUGCUGUAAAAAAGCUUGAGGAAGGUGGCUUGAGAUUCGUCUUAAGUGUUUAUAGCCUCUUGCCUAUGCAGUCGGAGAGAUUAAGGUCUGCAGCGUAGAUCCUUCGGGGCUAAAUGCAUUUGUGCUAAGUUAUAGCAUUUUAUAGACAACUUGUUGACUAUGAUUUGUCUUGUAGCUUACUCGCUUAUGUUAUUUUACCUACGCUUAGGAUGUUGAUAUCGCGCUCUCACUG